rnacentral:lncRNA from 1 species
CCCCUAUUCCCCUCAUAGUGCACUACGGCAACACAGAGGGGUGCGCAUCCCAAAUUACCCCCUAUUCCCCUCAUAGUGCACUACUUCUAACCAGAGCCCAAUGGGUAGGUAGAGCACUAGAAAGGAAAGAGGAAGCCAUUUUGGGACAGUGUAGUAGUAAUAAUUACUGAUUCCUGAAGGACAUUUCAUCUCUUUAGUCUCUAACAGAAGUUGCCAGUUUGGAGACAUUUCAUCUCUUUAGUCUCUAACAGAAGUUGCCAGUUUGGAGACAUUUCAUCUCUUUAGUCUCUAACAGAAGUUGCCAGUUUGGAGACAUUUCAUCUCUUUAGUCUCUAACAGAAGUUGCCAGUUUGGAGAGAAAAUACACAUUAUAGACUCAGACUAUUUACAACAUGAAGCAUACAUGUAUAUACACAGGAUAAUAUACCACUGGCAAGCUGAGGGAGAAUUCUUUCUCUGCAGGGUUCAGACUGUAGACUGGUGGGGUCAUGGGGUCAGGGUCUAGACUGUAGACUGGUGGGGUCAGGGUCUAGACUGUAGACUGGUGGGGUCAUGGGGUCAGGGUCUAGACUGUAGACUGGUGGGGUCAUGGGGUCAGGGUUCAGACUGGUGGGGUCAUGGGGUCAGGGUCUAGACUGUAGACUGGUGGGGUCAGGAUCUAGACUGUAGACUGGUGGGGUCAGGGUCUAGACUGUAGACUGGUGGGGUCAGGGGGUCAGGGUCUAGACUGUAGACUGGUGGGGUCAGGAUCUAGACUGUAGACUGGUGGGGUCAGAUAGGGGUCAGGGUCUAGACUGUAGACUGGUGGGGUCAGCUAGGGGUCAGG